rnacentral:rRNA from 1 species
ACGGGAGGCAGCAGUGGGGAAUAUUGCGCAAUGGGGGAAACCCUGACGCAGCGACGCCGCGUGAGUGAAGAAGUAUUUCGGUAUGUAAAGCUCUAUCAGCAGGGAAGAUAAUGACGGUACCUGACUAAGAAGCACCGGCUAAAUACGUGCCAGCAGCCGCGGUAAUACGUAUGGUGCAAGCGUUAUCCGGAUUUACUGGGUGUAAAGGGAGCGUAGGUGGUUUGGCAAGCCAGAGGUGAAAACCCGGGGCUUAACUCCGGGAUUGCCUUUGGAACUGUUGGACUAGAGUGCAGGAGGGGUAAGUGGAAUUCCCAGUGUAGCGGUGAAAUGCGUAGAUAUUGGGAGGAACACCGGUGGCGAAGGCGGCUUACUGGACUGUAACUGACACUGAGGCUCGAAAGCGUGGGGAGCAAACAGGAUUAGAUACCCUGGUA